rnacentral:rRNA from 1 species
CACGUAGGGCGCGAGCGUUGUCCGGAAUUAUUGGGCGUAAAGAGCUCGUAGGCGGCUUGGUAAGUCGGAUGUGAAAUCUCCAUGCUUAACGUGGAGCGGCCAUCUGAUACUGCUAUGGCUUGAGUCCGGUAGGGGCCCACGGAAUUCCUGGUGUAGCGGUGAAAUGCGCAGAUAUCAGGAGGAACACCGGUGGCGAAGGCGGUUCUCUGGGCCUUACCUGACGCUGAGGAGCGAAAGCGUGGGGAGCGAACAGG